CUACGGGGGGCUCCAGUAGGGAAUCUUAGACAAUGGGGGAAACCCUGAUCUAGCCAUGCCGCGUGAGUGAUGAAGGCCUUAGGUUGUAAAGCUCUUUCGCUGGGGAAGAUAAUGACGGUACCCAGUAAAGAAACCCCGGCUAACUCCGUGCCAGCAGCCGCGGUGAUACGGAGGGGGUUAGCGUUGUUCGGAAUUACUGGGCGUAAAGCGCGCGUAGGCGGGCUAUUAAGUCAGGGGUGAAAUCCCGGGGCUCAACCCCGGAACUGCCUUUGAUACUGGUAGUCUUGAGUUCGAGAGAGGUGAGUGGAAUUCCGAGUGUAGAGGUGAAAUGCGUAGAUAUUCGGAGGAACAUCAGUGGCGAAGGCGACUCACUGGCUCGAUACUGACGCUGAGGUGCGAAAGUGUGGGGAGCAAACAGGAUUAGAUACCCCCGUAGUC
rnacentral:rRNA from 1 species